GGAGUGCUUGCACUCUGUGAAACAAGAUACAGGCUAGCGGCGGACGGGUGAGUAACACGUGGGUAACCUGCCCAAGAGAUCGGGAUAACACCUGGAAACAGAUGCUAAUACCGGAUAACAACAGAUGAUGCCUAUCAACUGUUUAAAAGAUGGUUCUGCUAUCACUCUUGGAUGGACCUGCGGUGCAUUAGCUAGUUGGUAGGGUAACGGCCUACCAAGGCGAUGAUGCAUAGCCGAGUUGAGAGACUGAUCGGCCACAUUGGGACUGAGACACGGCCCAAACUCCUACGGGAGGCAGCAGUAGGGAAUCUUCCACAAUGGACGCAAGUCUGAUGGAGCAACGCCGCGUGAGUGAAGAAGGGUUUCGGCUCGUAAAGCUCUGUUGUUGGUGAAGAAGGACAGGGGUAGUAACUGACCUUUGUUUGACGGUAAUCAAUUAGAAAGUCACGGCUAACUACGUGCCAGCAGCCGCGGUAAUACGUAGGUGGCAAGCGUUGUCCGGAUUUAUUGGGCGUAAAGCGAGUGCAGGCGGCUCGAUAAGUCUGAUGUGAAAGCCUUCGGCUCAACCGGAGAAUUGCAUCAGAAACUGUCGAGCUUGAGUACAGAAGAGGAGAGUGGAACUCCAUGUGUAGCGGUGAAAUGCGUAGAUAUAUGGAAGAACACCGGUGGCGAAGGCGGCUCUCUGGUCUGUUACUGACGCUGAGGCUCGAAAGCAUGGGUAGCGAACAGGAUUAGAUACCCAGGUAGUCCAUGCCGUAAACGAUGAGUGCUAAGUGUUGGGAGGUUUCCGCCUCU
rnacentral:rRNA from 1 species